CAGUCAGUGGGGAAUAUUGCACAAUGGGCGCAAGCCUGAUGCAGCCAUGCCGCGUGUAUGAAGUAAGGCCUUCGGGUUGUUAAAGUACUUUCAGCAGUGAGGAAGGCGGAGUCGUUAAUAGCGGCCUCGUUUGACGUUUAGCUGCAGAAGAAGCACCGGCUAACUCCGUGCCAGCAGCCGCGGUAAUACGGAGGGUGCGAGCGUUAAUCGGAAUUACUGGGCGUAAAGCGCAUGCAGGUGGUUUGUUAAGUCAGAUGUGAAAGCCCGGGGCUCAACCUCGGAAUUGCAUUUGAAACUGGCAGACUAGAGUACUGUAGAGGGGGUAGAAUUUCAGGUGUAGCGGUGAAAAUGCGUAGAGAUCUGAAGGAAUACCGGUGGCGAAGGCGGCCCCCUGGACAGAUACUGACACUCAGAUGCGAAAGCGUGGGGAGCAAACAGGAUUAGAUACCCUGGUAG
rnacentral:rRNA from 1 species